rnacentral:piRNA from 1 species
CUCACGGUUUUGCCUCGACCCCAAAC